rnacentral:rRNA from 1 species
CCUACGGGCGGCAGCAGUGGGGAAUAUUGCGCAAUGGGCGAAAGCCUGACGCAGCGACGCCGCGUGAGGGAUGAAGGUCUUCGGAUCGUAAACCUCUGUCAGCAGGGAAGAAAGGUCACUCUGCUAAUCAGCAGUGAAUUGACGGUACCUGCAAAGGAAGCACCGGCUAACUCCGUGCCAGCAGCCGCGGUAAUACGGAGGGUGCGAGCGUUAAUCGGAAGUACUGGGCGUAAAGCGCUCGUAGGCGGUAUGUUAAGUCAAGGGUGAAAUCCCCGGGCUCAACGUGGGAACUGCCUUUGAAACUGGCUGACUGGAGUGUGUGAGAGGAUAGUGGAAUUCCAGGUGUAGGAGUGAAAUGCGUAGAUAUCUGGAGGAACAUCAGUGGCGAAGGCGACUAUCUGGCACAUAACUGACGCUGAGGAGCGAAAGCGUGGGUAGCAAACAGGAUUAGAUACCCCAGUAGUC